UGGGGAAUAUUGCACAAUGGGCGAAAGCCUGAUGCAGCGACGCCGCGUGAGGGAUGACGGCCUUCGGGUUGUAAACCUCUUUCAGCAGGGAAGAAGCGCAAGUGACGGUACCUGCAGAAGAAGCGCCGGCUAACUACGUGCCAGCAGCCGCGGUAAUACGUAGGGCGCAAGCGUUGUCCGGAAUUAUUGGGCGUAAAGAGCUCGUAGGCGGCUUGUCACGUCGGGUGUGAAAGCCCGGGGCUUAACCCCGGGUCUGCAUUCGAUACGGGCUAGCUAGAGUGUGGUAGGGGAGAUCGGAAUUCCUGGUGUAGCGGUGAAAUGCGCAGAUAUCAGGAGGAACACCGGUGGCGAAGGCGGAUCUCUGGGCCAUUACUGACGCUGAGGAGCGAAAGCGUGGGGAGCGAGCAGGAUUAGAUACCCUGGUAGUCCACGCCGUAAACGGUGGGAACUAGGUGUUGGCGACACUCCACGUCGUCGGUGCCGCAGCUAACGCAUUAAGUUCCCCGCCUGGNGAGUACGGCCGCAAGGCUA
rnacentral:rRNA from 1 species